rnacentral:lncRNA from 1 species
UUGAAUAAUUCAAGCCAUAAAUGUGAGAUGAUAAUAAUAAUAAUAAUAAUCAUCUUAUACAGGAAAUGGAUAGUGAAGGGUAUCACGGGAACGUAAUGAGAUUAAAUCCAAAGAAGGAAAAGAAAUUAUCAAAGCUAAACGUGGUCCAUGUUGUUUGCACGCCUCCUCUCUCUCUCUCUCUCCCUCCAAAGUUUUUGGAUUUGCAU